GAUUGGUCGGCACAAUAACGACUCGGUGUUACUCUCCGUGGAAAACAAUUGUACGAAAGCACGAUGACAGCAAAGCACAUGGCUAAUCCUCGAGGAUGCGUUAGCCAAGCAUUAGAAGCAUUGAAUAAAAAAAAAUCGGGUUGGAUUCUUUACCUCACUGGGAACGAUGGAACAACGUCUCGUCGUCGUCAACGAUGAUAACAAUCGUAGCUAAAAUCAUUUUCCGGGAAAUGUACCUGUAAUAAUUGCUCUGAUGCCGAAGCAAGGGCAAACACCACAGAUGACAAGGAGAAGAUGCCGAGCAAAAAGCAGCUCACCAUUGACAAAUAUCUUAACACAAAGCAGAGUGAACUGAGAUACAACUCGUAGUCAACCAAACAUGAUGGCAACCCCAUUAAGUUUUCCAUAUGCCCCAGCACUCUGCUGCAAAGUAUCGGCCCACGACGACGACGAGUACCGAUAGUCAUUAGUUCAUCUUAACUUUGUGGUUAAAGGCAAAAACCACCGUAGACAAGCAGACGCCAAGCAAAAUUUUACGUGUGCCCCCACCACUCUACUGAAAAGAAUAGGCCUUUGACUGAAAGCUGGUUGGAGGAGAUAAUCAAGACAAACCGCAUUGACAAAUGCGUUGCGACCCGCCACCACUAGGCCGGCAGCUGCUAAGUCCAACGAUGCACGGUUGUCGAAUCGAGAAGGCCGAGAAGUCGAGAAAGCCCAAGCCUGUGAGAUGACGCACGUAGCAAAAAUAUGUAACCAUCAAUUAUGCUAUUGUAAAUAUUGCAACAUUGGGGUUCUGCAGGCCAAGACCGCUCGUCGGUUGUAGCCGGUUAAGUAA